CCAGCCUUUCCCUUCACGGAAGACAUUGCCACAUACGGUACAGAUGAAAAAGUCAACAGCCAGACAUCCCAUGCUGGAUGCGAAUUGACAUUCUCUGCUCCCAACUGUGUGAGGGCUGGGUCAGGGAAGCACAUGCAGUUUUCCAAAGGGAACACAGCUUUAAGAAGAAUGCAAACGGACAAGAUCCAGGUUUGGCCGAACGCUUCUAAAACCUUUUGCUGCAAGAGAGGAAUAUGUAGCAUCUCCGUUCAGUGUCUCUGGGUUCCGAUCAAUACCACAAGUCUGGCACACGCGAAGUAAGUGUUUCACCAUUGACACCCAUCCCCAACUCUGAUUUUAUUUUAAAUCUUGUGAUAGUGUGCCAGACUUGCCUUAAACUUGCUGGAUGGUCCAGGCAGCCUUGAACUCUAAGUAGUUGGGGGGGGGGGUCAUAGGUCAGGCCAUCAGAACUGGUUUGGCUUAUUUUUCUACACUGACUGAGAAACAUUUAGUCUUUACCAACGACUUGAAUGGUAUGGGUUUGUUCAUAGAGCAGUUUGAAUCUCUCAAAUGUCAUCUCUAGUUCAACCCAAUGUUCUCUUUUACAGGUUAUUUUUAUAGAUGGUAAUAAAUAGGAAUUGUUAACAUGGUGUGGUGGUUUGAACAGGAAUAUUCCCCCACAGACUCGUGUGUUUAAAUGCUUAUCCCAUAGGGAGUGGCACUAUUAGGAGGUGUGGUCUUGUUGGAGGAAGUAUGUCACUGUGAGGGCGGGCUUUGAGGUCUCAGAUUCUCAAGCUACACCUAGUGUGGUACACAGUCUCUUCCUGUUGCCUUCAGAUCAAGAUGUAAAAUUCUCAGCUCCUUCUCCAGCAUUAUCUCUACCCGCUUGCCACCGUGUUUCCUGUCAUUAUGACGAUGGACUAAACCUCUGAAUAUGUAAUACAGCUCCAGUGAAACGUUUUUCCUUAUAAGAGUCGCUGUGGUCAUGGUGUCUCCUCACAGCAAUAAAACCCUAAUUAAGACACAUGGUAAGACAUUCUCUAGCAUGUGCGUCAGGGGUCACAACGGAGAUCUUACUUAGUUGAAAUGUCAAGGAAAUUCACAGUUCAGGCAUUCCAGUUAUGCGAUGUACCUUCCUUAUAUUUACUUCACACCUCCUCACUCUCAUCCAUCUAGUGCAUCUAGAGAAGUAAGUCUGUGCUUCUACAAUACCUCCUCAUACUCAUCCACGUACGAACAAACAUACUCAGAGUGGUUUUUAAACCCACAUAAGAUCUGAUUAUAUAUGUUGCUGUUUUUUGUUUGUUUGUUUGUUUCUUUGCUUCAUAAAGAAGGCUAAUAUGAGGCUCCUGACUUAACAUUUAAUCUUGGACCUUGAAAUCCACUUAUGAGUUGGGGAAGAAUGGGAAUGCCACCUUUAAAAGGUUUCUUGUUUGUUUGUGUUUUCUUUAAGGCUGGGUAGGACAUCUUCAGUACCAACUGACCACUAAACAUGUUUUUACAGAAGACUGAAAUGCAGAAUGACAAUUGAAAUUAUUUAGAGGUCCCAUUACUUUCCUCCUUCUGUUAUAUAGCUUAUUAAUCUUAGGCUUUAACCAUGUCAACAAAUUAAGUAACCAGUUACCAAGAGGCAUGGGCUGCCCCAUUAAGGCUCUAGGGGCAGGCUGGAGUCAAGUUGAUCUUCCACAAAGGCAGACUCUCCAGAUGAAGCCUGUGUCUCAGGUGGAGGUAUUAGAUAAAUGCAAGAAGAUCUGUUUCCUGUUUGCAAUCUUUGGGGAAGAACCAAAUUAAUUCUCCAAGAAAUGGAUGCUAUCUUAAUCAAGUAUCAUGUUACUUUAUCAUGUUACUUUAUCAUGAGAAUCAAGAUCACUCCUUAUAAAUGGAAGGCUGUUGUAAUGGUUUCUGUUCAUGCUCUUCAGCAGCAACUUGGUCCAAAUACAAAAGAGUUAAAGAAGCAGAGGAGUUGGAAGAACUAUUGUUAGAAUGCAAUUAUAGGAGCAGGAAGACCAUCUGUUGAAUAUAUUGUAUACAAGCAAGAGGAGGAGGAAGAAGAAACACGUGGCUUUGGUGACUUUCAAAUCUUUAUGGCAAAGAGAAAAGAUGCUACAAAGGAUAAUAUUUAACAGGGAGCACCAUCCCAGGAGUCAAGCUGUUUUGAAGGCCAUUUAAUGUUGUUAUUAUAAUGUUUACAGUGUUCUAUUAAGAUAUGAAUUUUGAAUAUUAGUUCUGGUUCACCAAUGUUUAUUUCUAUAUCUGUCUCUGUGUAGAUGAAUGAAUGUAUAUAUUUAUACACACAUAUACACAUACAUGCAUAUACAUACAGAUUUUCAAUAUAUAUGAACACAAAAUAUAAAUGGAAGAUGAUUAGCUAUUAAGCUUGAAUCUCAUUUUUGUCAAAAGUUUUGAUUCAGUCAUUGUAAACUAGAUAUAUCUCCAUCUUUUUGCUAUUCAAUAAAAGAAAACCAACUUACAAUAAAGCAGUUUAUGUUUUCCUGACU
rnacentral:lncRNA from 1 species